UGGCUCAGAACGAACGCUGGCGGCGUGCGUAACACAUGCAAGUCGGACGGGGGGAGGCUCUUCGGGGCUUUCUUCAGUGGCGGACGGGUGCGUAACACGUGGCUGACCUACCCUUCGCAGGGGGAUACCCGCCAGAAAUGGCGGCUAAGACCGCAUACGCUUCACGGGAGGUGCGUCCUCUGGUGAAGGAAAACCGGCGUCGCGAGACGCGGGUGGCGAGGGAGGGGGCCGCGGCCGAUUAGCUAGUUGGCGGGGUAAGCGCCCACCAAGGCGACGAUCGGUAGCUGGUCUGAGAGGAUGAUCAGCCACACUGGGAUUGAGAACGGCCCAGAGACCUACGGGAGGCA
rnacentral:rRNA from 1 species